CAGCCGCCGCGGGAAUACGUGGGGUGCAAGCGUUAUCCGGAAUUAUUGGGCGUAAAGAGCUCAUAGGCGGUUUGUCGCGUCUGCUGUGAAAACUGGAGGCUCAACCUCCAGCCUGCAGUGGGUACGGGCAAACUAGAGUGCGGUAGGGGAGAUUGGAAUUCCUGGUGUAGCGGUGGAAUGCGCAGAUAUCAGGAGGAACACCGAUGGCGAAGGCAGAUCUCUGGGCCGUAACUGACGCUGAGGAGCGAAAGCAUGGGGAGCGAACAGGAUUAGAUACCCCUGUAGUCCCUGUCUCUUAUAC
rnacentral:rRNA from 1 species